rnacentral:rRNA from 1 species
UACGUAGGGGGCGAGCGUUGUCCGGAGUUACUGGGCGUAAAGCGCUUGUAGGCGGUCCACCAAGUUUGGGGUGACAGUUGCCGACUUAAUCGGCAAAGUGCCUCAAAGACUGGCGGACUUGAGGGCCACAGAGGGACAUGGAACUCCAGGUGUAGUGGUGAAAUGCGUAGAUAUCUGGAAGAACACCAAAGGCGAAGGCAGUGUCCUGGGUGGUCGCUGACGCUGAGAGGCGAAGGCCAGGGGAGCGAACGGG